GACGAACGCUGGCGGCGUGCCUAAUACAUGCAAGUAGAACGCACAGUUUAUACCGUAGCUUGCUACACCAUAGACUGUGAGUUGCGAACGGGUGAGUAACGCGUAGGUAACCUGCCUGGUAGCGGGGGAUAACUAUUGGAAACGAUAGCUAAUACCGCAUAAUAUUAAUUAUUGCAUGAUAAUUAAUUGAAAGGUGCAAUUGCACCACUACCAGAUGGACCUGCGUUGUAUUAGCUAGUAGGUGAGGUAACGGCUCACCUAGGCGACGAUACAUAGCCGACCUGAGAGGGUGAACGGCCACACUGGGAAUGAGACACGGCCCAGAAUCCUACGGGAGGCAGCAGUAGGGAAUCUUCGGCAAUGGACGAAAGUCUGACCGAGCAACGCCGCGUGAGUGAAGAAGGUUGUCGGAUCGUAAAGCUCUGUUGUAAGAGAAGAACGGGUGUGAGAGUGGAAAGUUCACACUGUGACGGUAUCUUACCAGAAAGGGACGGCUAACUACGUG
rnacentral:rRNA from 1 species